AAGAAAAUGCUGUUCGGCGAGAAUUGUGGCUACAGCGUAUUGGGCGGACUGACUUGAACUCUGCGUCGUCGCGGCUUUGUGAGGACCACUUCUCUGCAAACCAAUUUGAGCCGAUACUGCUGAGGAAGUUUGGUACUAAGAAGUUGAAGAGAGACGCGACGCCUACGAUCUUUAGUCAACAGCAUUUGCGAACGUCAGAGUGCAAUGACACACCCUUCCCAUCUUCUGGCUUUGAGUUGUUACUAGCAGCAGCUGCUGCCGCUGAUG